rnacentral:ncRNA from 6 species
UUAAGGCACGCGGUGAAUGCCAA